UUGUCGUCUUUCUAUUUGCGCAUGUGCGAAUUUCAGGAUAAAUGCGACAGUAGGAGUAUAUGGAGAAAAAAGUAUCACUAUCUUUUUCUAACUCGAGUGAACGACGGUUGCUAGGUAAUUUGUAUACAUUUCCUAUAGGCAAUUACUUUUCAGCACAGUAAAAUCAUGCUGAAAAGUCCAACAGCUGAUUUUUCGACAUCGUUCUAUAGUUUCGUCGAGCUAUCGAGAGAAAGACCUAUUUUACUCGCGCCACACGACGCUCGAAUAUUGAACUUUAAAGGCAGCAGUUAUAAAAAAGUGUUUUUCUUCUAAAAAAAUUCAAAUCCUUGAACUAAUUCAUGACAGUUUUUUUUUUUUUUAAACGUUAGUAGUUAAGAAACUAAGUCGAAUGUCACCUUUAACGUCAAAAUCGGUUCAUUAUUUCUAAAGAUAUUGGUGAUUAAAUAUAAAACAAACAACGAUUUACUUUAUUUCCCGAAUAACUCAUAAUAUUAUUUAUCAAAUGUUUCAAAAAAAUUUAUUUGAUGUUAGAGUUCAAAAAACUGCAUCAACUGCCUCUUUGAAUGUCAAAGUUCAUUAUUUCUAAAGAUAUUGCUGAUGUAAAAUAAAAAAAAAACAACGAUUUACUUGAAUUUUUUUUUUUUGUUGAUUGCUUGAAUUUUCGCAAUGGAAGGUGCGACAUUAGUAUUUUCGAGCUUGAAAAGCUCAACAAUGUAUUAACAAUAGUAUUUUUGAACUCAAGAGCUCGAAAAUAGCGAGAAGUUUUAGGGCUGGCCCGCAGGGUCAGUUGACAUUUCAAGUGCACACUCAUUAUAUGUAUUUCAAUGUAUACUGUUUUGUAUAUAUAUUAUCGCGCAGAAGUCAUUAUAUUUCCUAUUGAAUAUAAAAUUAAAUAAGACAAUAGCAAAAUCAUGUCAAAAAUAAUAUUUAUAAUAAUUGGACUACUCGUCGCCAUUGAGAUGAUGGGAGAAAUGGUUGCGGCUUGUACCGGAGCUUUAGGCGGGUGUUCGGAUCACAAAGAAUGUUGUUCAGGAUGGUGCUCAACUUGGUCAUCAACUUUAAAUAUUCGUCUAUGUGCUUUGAGUGGAUAGUUUCAAAAUAAAUUUAUUUGAUGUAAUGUAAGAGCCUAUUAUUUACUCACUUUUGGAGUGAGAUUAAACCAGUCAAUAAAAAUUGACAAAUGAAGUGAAAAAUCUAUUUUUUUUUUUUUUUAGUUACCCUGAUUAAAAGAAACAAUAUAUUG